UACGUAGGUGGCAAGCGUUGUCCGGAAUUAUUGGGCGUAAAGCGCGCGCAGGCGGUCCUUUAAGUCUGAUGUGAAAGCCCACGGCUCAACCGUGGAGGGUCAUUGGAAACUGGGGGACUUGGGUGCAGGAGAGAAGAGUGGAAUUCCACGUGUAGCGGUGAAAUGCGUAGAGAUGUGGAGGAACACCAGUGGCGAAGGCGACUCUUUGGCCUGUAACUGACGCUGAGGCGCGAAGGCCAGGGGAGCAAACGGG
rnacentral:rRNA from 1 species